rnacentral:rRNA from 1 species
AGGGCAAGUCUGGUGCCAGCAGCCGCGGUAAUUCCAGCUCCAAUAGCGUAUAUUAAAGUUGUUGCAGUUAAAAAGCUCGUAGUUGAAUUUCGGGGUUAGUAGGUUGGUCAUGCCACUGGUAUGUACUGAUCUUACUGAUUCCUCCUUCCUGAUGAACCGUAAUGCCAUUAAUUUGGUGUUGCGGGGAGACUGGACUGUUACUUUGAAAAAAUUAGAGUGUUUAAAGCAGGCUAACGCUUGAAUACAUUAGCAUGGAAUAAUGAAAUAGGACGUUCGAUCCUAUUUUGUUGGUUUCUAGGAUUGACGUAAUGAUUAAUAGGGAUAGUUGGGGGCAUUAGUAUUCAAUUGUCAGAGGUGAAAUUCUUGGAUUUAUUGAGGACUAACUACUGCGAAAGCAUUUGCCAAGGAUGUUUUCAUUAAUCAAGAACGAAAGUUAGGGGAUCGAAGACGAUCAGAUACCGUCGUAGUCUUAACCAUAAACUAUGCCGACUAGGGAUCGGAUGAUGUUAAUUUUUUAAUGACUCAUUCGGCGCCUUACGGGAA